UUAAGCAAUAACUCCUAUGAGACAUAUAGCAACAUGAUGAUAAUUCAUCCAACACUGAACUAUUUGCUAUAUCAAGUAAACUAGUACAGUAAUCUCUUAAAUCUAUAAACCAGUUACCAUUAAAGGUAUAUGUUACAACAUCUCUGCAUUUAAGAGAACUUGGAUUCUCCCUAAAACUAAAAUUCCCGAAGACCUUUUCACCUACGUUGCUUAAAUUCUUCAAAAAUGCUCGGUCCGUGUCCUAACAGCAUUUUAAGAGAGUCCGAGCAACGUAGCUUUUAACUAAUCAAAUAUAAAUUUAAAACAAUAGUAAACAAAACUCAAAGCUGUCAACUUUAUAUUACAUAAUCAGACCACUCUGAUAUAUGUGAAGUAUGAUCCAUAGUGAAACUAGGUAUCUUAUCAAGUCUCUUUGGAUUCUCCUUCCCUCCUAGCAACCUCGCCGGAUUCCCAACAGCGGUUGUCCUCGCCGGAACUUCCUUCAACACAACAGACCCUGCCCCAAUCUUAGCCCCAUCUCCAAUUCUAACAUUUCCAAGAACACAAGUUCCAGCACCAAUCAAAACACCAUCACCAAUCUUAGGGUGUCUAUCCCCACAUGCUUUACCAGUGCCACCUAAUGUUACAUUAUGCAAAAUCGAAACAUUGUUCCCAAUUACAGCAGUUUCACCAACAACAACACCAGUAGCAUGAUCAAGUAAAAUCCCUUUACCAAUUUUAGCACCAGGAUGAAUAUCAACAGCAAAAACUUCAGAUACUCUGUUUUGUAUUAACAGAGCAAGAAUUUGCCUCCCUUUAGACCAUAAUUUAUGUGCAAUUCUAUGAGCUUGACAAGCUAAAAACCCUUUAAAAUUCAAG
rnacentral:misc_RNA from 1 species